UGGCUCAGUUGGUAGAGCAUGGUGUUUGCAACGCCAGGGUUGUGGGUUCGAUUCUCAU
rfam:Salmo salar isolate Sally breed double haploid chromosome ssa11, whole genome shotgun sequence.